CUAGAAUCCUGAAGUGGGAUCAAUCUCAGGGACCACGCUGAGCACGCAAGUGCAACCAAGCUAAGGAUCCGGGGCUGAGAAUGUUUGCCGUCCCUCCUAUGGUGCAUGCUGGGAUUGUACACAUGAGAUUAAGCCUGGAGUGGUCUGGGAAAACUCGCCUCUUUUUCUUGCAGGAAGUAGGCGUGGGUAUUGUGUGUUCUCUUCUUAAACCAUGGAUGUGAGUCUGUGAAGAGCUGGCCCCGAGUGGAUCCGGAGGUCACCGGAGCUUUCCUUCCCACGCUCAGCCCACAGCGUUGCCUCAGUUCUCAGUUCAGUGAACCCCGUAAAAGCACUGCUUUAGGUACUUCCCAAAGAACCUGCAAAAUGGAGUUGGAUGAAGUGAUCUCUGAGGAUAAUCGCCCUCUCCUGCAUCUAGAGUCGACCUUUUUCCCCUCUAGAGAGGUCUGGGCUGGUUGCGGCUCCUAGGAUCCAGAGAUGCCAGGCUGUGGGCCCGACUUCUCUUCAUGAGCCCCUCCAGACUCAAAGGUCAUCUGAUUAAGAACCGAGGCCUCCAGCAGGCCAGGGCCACCGUGAGGGCACAGGAUCCGCAGGGCAGUUAGGCCGUGAAAUCAGUGGUUCACUGGAGGGUUUCUGCCCUCGCAGCCUCCCGGGGCUGCUAGAUAA
ensembl:sense_intronic Gm16137 predicted gene 16137